ACAAUGUCCACAAGAACCCAGGUUAUUUUCACCAGUGUCUGAUUUAUGCCCAGACCCACUUCUUUACAAAAGUGAAAUGGUUGCUGGAAUCCUGGGGCAAUGUUGUUUUUGUACCUUUCAAACAAAAAGAGCUUUUCUUUCUCCAACGAUUGAACUAACACGGUGGGUUUCACAGUCUCAGAAGUUUCCACUACUCCCAUUCCUCAUCAUCAUUUUGGUGAGAGGAACAUCCUCUCUGGUUGCUGAGGCCUCGUCUAGGGGUCCAUCCUUGCACACUCUCUGAGGUCAGGUUUGUUGGUCAAACAUCCCAAGCCAGACCAUUCCCACCUGAACGGCGUACCUGAGGGAGGAGGUUUGGGAAACAGACGGCACGCCAUGUACAGAUAUCGACAGUUGUCUGUAAUCACGAUCAUAGCAAGCAAGGUUUCAAAACAAAGUGCUGUUGUGCAAGUGCCCAGGAGCCUUAUAAACAGAGGUUCCUCCCACCCGCAGCAGCCUCGCUGGGUCCCAGGCUCUGAGCAGCUCCCCCAUCUUCUCCUGCCGCCCAGGGUCCAGCCGGCAUUCACCAUGAGGGGCCUCUGCUUCGUGCUCCUGACCUGCUUCAUCCUCUUUGCUCACUUUACCACAGCCCAGGUCCUGUCUCUAGACACGGGAGAGAACUGCAAGCGUGUUGGUGGUGAAUGUAAAUUUUUUUCUUGCCCAGGAGAUCAUGAAACUAUCGGUUCCUGUUGGAUCUUUGGAAUAGGGCAAUGGCUAGCUGUGGCUAGCUGAAAGACACGGGAGCACAAGCAGCCUGAGAAUGAAAUAAAGGGCCGACUUUAACUCUGAAAGUGCUCUCAUAUUAUUUCCUGAAAAUAAAGAAAUGACCCGUGCUGCA